CGACUGCUAAUACCCGAUGUGCCGGAAAGGUGAAAAUUUUUUGCCUCAAGAGGAGCUCGCGUCUGAUUAGCUAGUUGGUGGGGUAAAAGCGUACCAAGGCAACGAUCAGUAGCUGGUCUGAGAGGAUGAGCAGCCACACUGGGACUGAGACACGGCCCAGACUCCUACGGGAGGCAGCAGUGGGGAAUUUUCCGCAAUGGGCGAAAGCCUGACGGAGCAAUACCGCGUGAGGGAGGAAGGCCUUUGGGUUGUAAACCUCUUUUCUCAGGGAAGAAGAUCUGACGGUACCUGAGGAAUAAGCAUCGGCUAACUCCGUGCCAGCAGCCGCGGUAAUACGGAGGAUGCAAGCGUUAUCCGGAAUUAUUGGGCGUAAAGCGUCCGCAGGUGGUCUUUCAAGUCUGCUGUCAAAGACCAGAGCUUAACUCUGGGCAGGCGGUGGAAACUGAGAGACUAGAGUUCGGUAGGGGUAGCGGGAAUUCCCAGUGUAGCGGUGAAAUGCGUAGAUAUUGGGAAGAACAUCGGUGGCGAAGGCGCGCUACUGGACCGAAACUGACACUCAGGGACGAAAGCUAGGGUAGCG
rnacentral:rRNA from 1 species